UACAAUGAAUGUGGGAUAUAUGAGUAUAUGAGGAGGAAGAGUAUUUUUGUUGCAAAAUUUGUUUAAAACAUGUUAAACAUGUUGGUGGACCCAUUUCUUGACUGAAAUUUGAUUAUAGCCUGUAAAAUCGUCCGUUUAUGGAUUUCAGUCAAUUUUUGUUUGGAAUUUAGAAAAACCUUCUUCUGCAAAGUUGUAGAGAAUUGAAUUUCCUAUAAAAA
rnacentral:lncRNA from 1 species